CGUCAUUCCACGCGGCGCGAAAUUUUCUCUGCUGCUUAAGAUACGUGACUGCGAAAAACAUUGGGUUGUAAAACGCUUAUAUACAGUGUUCUAGUACAACACAGAUUUAAUGUAUGCUUAUUAGCACACAAAGAUGGCAGAAGACUGGCCACAAAGUAAGGUGACAAAACAUGUGAAGGAGGGAACUCUGCCGGAUAGGUAUACCUCGACUCUGCAUGAUGUUUGCAUUUUGAGUUCAAAGGGGUGAAUGCACUAACCACCAGAAUAUUGGCAUCAUCACGUGAGUACCCCAUUGAUGCUCUGCAAGGAGUACAAGAGGAGACAAACCUCAAACUGCAGCAUUAGAAGGCAGUAUCCAGGGAGUGUCUAACGAAGCAUUAGUCCAGCCACAUUCUCAAACAAGGGAAGACUUAAAAUUGAUUCUGCAGGAAGCAAAAGAUAUGCUGAAUCAUUUGACUGCUCUGAUAAGCAAAGACAAACCUGCUCCAGCACACUGGCAGGAGCUGUUCGAGCUGCAAGGAUGCCUUGAUGAUGACUCAUAAAUUACUUAUCAAAAGCCUCUCUUGUGUGGGUGGUACGGAUGCAAAGGAUUGCCUGAAAAGAAUCAUGCGGCAAAUCUUGACUGACAAGGUUUUAUAACUGUAAAGACCAAAGAGGAGAAAACUGUGCAUUCAAGGGGCUUUCAAAGAUGCAGACCAUGAUAUGCAAAGCUGUACAGAAGAACAAUGGGUGCAUGGAGGCUUCAGAUAACAUCAUCGAAGAAAGCAGCAGCAGAAAGAGAUGGGGUAGAAAGCAGAGGAGAGAACGAAACUAAUACUAGCAUAUUUCAAGGAGGUGACAACUGUG